UACGUAGGAGGCGAGCGUUGUCCGGAGUUACUGGGCGUAAAGGGUGUGUAGGCGGUUGUUUAAGUUUGGUGUGAAAUCUCCCGGCUCAACUGGGAGGGUGCGCCGAAUACUGAAUGACUUGGAGUGCGGGAGAGGAAAGUGGAAUUCCUGGUGUAGCGGUGAAAUGCGUAGAUAUCAGGAGGAACACCGGUGGUGUAGACGGCUUUCUGGACCGUAACUGACGCUGAGACACGAAAGCGUGGGUAGCAAACAGG
rnacentral:rRNA from 1 species